UAAUACGGAGGGUGCAAGCGUUAUCCGGAUUUAUUGGGUUUAAAGGGUCCGCAGGCGGAUCGUUAAGUCAGCGGUGAAAUCCCUCAGCUCAACUGAGGAACUGCCGUUGAUACUGGCGAUCUUGAGUGCGAGUGAAGUUGGCGGAAUGUGUGGUGUAGCGGUGAAAUGCUUAGAUAUCACACAGAACACCUAUUGCGAAGGCAGCUGACUAACUCGAAACUGACGCUCAGGGACGAAAGUGUGGGGAUCAAACAGGAUUAGAUACCCUGGUAGUCCACACCGUAAACGAUGAUCACUAGAUUUUGGCCGCAAGGUCAGAGUCCAAGCGAAAGUGUUUAGUGAUCCACCUGGGGAGUACGACCGCAAGGUUG
rnacentral:rRNA from 1 species